CUUUUCGCUUCACUUAUUUAUUUAUUUCUUUAUCUAUUUGUCUGGUUUUGAAAUUGAAAUAUAGGAAUAGGAGUAAGAUGCUUGGGAAGUUUAUAAUUCUGAAAUUACUACGGGAUUCUUCAAGUUUCCUCUGCAAUUUUUUUUUAUUUUGUUUUUU